GAGAGAAUGAGAAAAAAAGCGAUGGCAAGAGAAAUAGAGAGAAGGUUCUAUAGCUUUCUUCACUCAUCAGAACCCACCAUCAACGUUCGUCAUCAUCAUCGGGGCUUAUGGAUGGAGCGAACACAAGACUUGAUUUGGUUUGAAACCUGUCGAAUCUAGUGGUGGCGGUGACAAAGGAGUUUUAGGGCUUUCUUGAUGACCUAAGGGUGGCGAUUAGCGGUGGUUUUAAGCUCGAGUAACAGCGGUGACCAAAAAUGCUUAGAUCGGCCACUGCAUUUAAUUAGGGUUCAGGCGGCGGCGUAGGAAAGUAUAUGUCGUAUACUAAGGCAAUGGAGAUAAAAUCGUUUUCUAGCCACGAUCAUGACCGAUAGGCGAAGCAUGGGUCAUUACCAACCAGGUCUGCGACGGUGUCAGGUGUAUGUGCUUAUUUACGGCUAGCUCAGGUAAGAUUCAACUAUUUUAUAUGUCAUACCAACGAGAUUAUUUGUGCAAACUGUUUAUUGUCUCUGCUUGUAUGAUUUUUGGCGAAUUUGGAGGCAGAGUUGAUAGUUGAAACUUGUUACGAAAUUGUGUUAUCAGCUGCAACAUUACUGAAUGCUUUUCAGUGGUGAGUAGUGGCGGUUUAGGGUUCUUACAGGAGUAAGUAAAUCUGUAGCUUUAGAUUAGGAAGACUGAGGCUUGGUUGUGCUUACGAAGCUCUAGCGAUUCAAGAUGAGGAGCUGCUGUAAUAACUUUGUCAGCUGCAGCAAACAUCAGAUCGAAAUUACAUGUUCACAGCUUACUCAAUCAUGAUUAGUUUGAAGGGUUGCAUUUACCAGAAAUCAUUAGUGGAGUGAAUUAUACGGGAUAACGAAAUGCUGGUUGUCCAUCUACCCGAGGUAUAAACAUUAUCUUUUUAGAUCAACUUAUUAGAAGUUACACUUGUUUGGUGGAAGGUCUAAAUCAAGUCACAAGAGUAUAUGGUAACUAAAGUUGAUUUGGUUAUAAGAAAGAAACUUGUGAGGUUCAUACUUGAUAAAAAAAAAAACUUGGGCGGAAGUCUGUGUGUGGGUGAUAGUAUUGACAAUAUCACGUCAGUGGUAUUAUUGCCGGUGUUAAUCGAUCAAUGCACAACUUUGGAUGAUCCAGCUUAUCAUAUCAGAAGGUUAAAUAGGAAGGAACCAUGAUAACUUCAAGAGGGAGCUCUCGGUCUUGAAAACAGCGGCAACGACGUAACUUCUGCGAUCCUUGCAAAGGUGUUUUCCGGCAAAGAGAAGACUAGCAGAUAUUAUGAGAAGCUUUGGAGCUAACUUCUAAGACAAUGAAACUAUCACCCAAAGGAACAUUUAGACUUCUCGUGUAAACAUUUAGAAUUUGGAAUAUUUUACUCAUUACACAACGUUUAUGCUAACAUUGGAUGGAACUUAUUACUGAAGUUAUAAUAUUACGAUUUCUAUAU